rnacentral:rRNA from 1 species
AGCCCAGACUCCUACGGGAGGCAGCAGUGGGGAAUAUUGCACAAUGGGGGAAACCCUGAUGCAGCGACGCCGCGUGAGCGAUGAAGUAUUUCGGUAUGUAAAGCUCUAUCAGCAGGGAAGAAGAUGACGGUACCUGACUAAGAAGCCCCGGCUAACUACGUGCCAGCAGCCGCGGUAAUACGUAGGGGGCAAGCGUUAUCCGGAUUUACUGGGUGUAAAGGGGGCGCAGACGGCGAUGCAAGCCAGGAGUGAAAGCCCGGGGCCCAACCCCGGGACUGCUCUUGGAACUGCGUGGCUGGGGUGCAGGAGGGGCAGGCGGAAUUCCUGGUGUAGCGGUGAAAUGCGUAGAUAUUAGGAGGAACACCAGUGGCGAAGGCGGCCUGCUGGACAGUAACUGACGUUGAGGCUCGAAAGCGUGGGGAGCAAACAGGAUUAGAUACCCUAGUACG